rnacentral:sRNA from 1 species
AGUGCUUUCAAAAGAAUUGGCGUCCGCUGUUCGCCUCACCUCCCGGGAGUCUUCUGCCUACUCCCAGAAGAGGAGGGAAGCACAAUAUGAAGACUUUGGAGACUCAACCGUUAGCUCCGGACUGCUGUCCUUCAGACCAGGACCCAGCUCCAGCCCAUCCUUCUCCCCACGCUUCCUCGAUGAAUAAAAAUGCGGACUCUGAACUGAUGCCACCGCCUCCCGAAAGGGGGGAUCCGCCCCGGUUGUCCCCAGAUCCUGUGGCUGGCUCAGCUGUGUCCCAGGAGCUAGGGGAGGGGGACCCAGUUUCUCUCUCCACUCCCCUGGAAACAGAGUUUGGUUCCCCUAGUGAGUUGAAUCCUCGAAUCGAGGAGCAAGAACUUUCCGAAAAUACAAGCCUUCCUGCAGAAGAAGCAAACGGGAGCCUUUCUGAAGAAGAAGCGAACGGGCCAGAGUUGGGGUCUGGAGAAGCCAUGGAAGAUACCUCUGGGGAACCCGCUGCAGAGGACGAGGGAGACACCGCUUGGAACUACAGCUUCUCUCAGCUGCCUCGAUUUCUCAGUGGUUCCUGGUCAGAGUUCAGCACCCAACCUGAGAACUUCUUGAAAGGCUGUAAGUGGGCUCCUGACGGUUCCUGCAUCUUGACCAAUAGUGCUGAUAACAUCUUGCGAAUUUAUAACCUGCCCCCAGAGCUGUACCAUGAGGGGGAGCAGGUGGAAUAUGCAGAAAUGGUCCCUGUCCUUCGAAUGGUGGAAGGUGAUACCAUCUAUGAUUACUGCUGGUAUUCUCUGAUGUCCUCAGCCCAGCCAGACACCUCCUACACCGGGGUUUCAGUGUCCAUGUCUCUCUCAGCGUGGCCAGCAGCAGCCGGGAGAACCCGAUUCAUAUCUGGGACGCAUUCACUGGAGAGCUCCGGGCUUCCUUUCGCGCCUACAACCACCUGGAUGAGCUGACGGCAGCCCAUUCGCUCUGCUUCUCCCCGGAUGGCUCCCAGCUCUUCUGUGGCUUCAACCGGACUGUGCGUGUUUUUUCCACGGCCCGGCCUGGCCGAGACUGCGAGGUCCGAGCCACAUUUGGUAAGCAUCUGUGCCGCCAAGGGAGGAGGAGAGGGAAGGGCACUGCCACCUGCACAGGGGCCUUUUGUGAGCCAGGGGCCACCUGUGGGGUUUCACGCCGUCCUCUGUACGGCCCCGGGAGCAGGUGCAGCCCAGUCGGCAGAGGAGCAAACAGGCUCAGAGCAGGUAGGAAACCUUCCCAAGGCCAACCAGCUGGUCAAAGGACUGCUUCCUUCCUGAACUCAUACCCUGUCAGCUGUGGAGCUUUUGGUCUCUGAAAUCUUUCUAGAAAAUUGUUGAUAAAGCUGAUUCCGUUUUCCUGUAGGCCUUCAACUUGCAUCUCUCCAAGGAAAAACUGGGAUUUGAGAGGGAUGAAGUGGGGCUUGGGCAUUUAGGUCCUUUGGGAGGAUAGAUGUGGGGAGCAUCAGAGGUCUUUGUCCUGCUUGUGACAGACAGCAUGGGGGAGAUGUUGAGUCCAAACAUGUUGGCGCUGGGACGGGAGACAGACCUCUGCUUAGCCUGGUUAGUGCCAGGAGCCAUUGCCCCCUCCCCCACUUUGUUCCUUCCCUCUCUAGCAAAAAAGCAGGGCCAGAGCGGCAUCAUCUCCUGCAUAGCCUUCAGCCCAGCCCAGCCCCUCUAUGCCUGUGGCUCCUACGGCCGCUCCCUGGGUCUGUAUGCCUGGGAUGAUGGCUCCCCUCUCGCCUUGCUGGGAGGGCACCAAGGGGGCAUCACCCACCUCUGCUUUCAUCCCGAUGGCAACCGCUUCUUCUCAGGAGCCCGCAAGGUAGGGGUCACACCCUGAGAGCCCAAAGCAGCUGGGCAGCGGGGCAGGAGCAGGGAUGUAGUCUGCAGUGUAGGGGAAUGGGUGGGGAUGGGGAAAAAAUCCCAAGCUGAAGGAGUGCCUGGAGACCCCGAGGGAGGCAGGGACAUCCAGGGCUUUGGGGGUGACUCCAGGUCCUGUUCCUUGUCUCCAGGAUGCUGAGCUCCUGUGCUGGGAUCUCCGGCAGUCUGGUUACCCACUGUGGUCCCUGGGUCGAGAGGUGACCACCAAUCAGCGCAUCUACUUCGAUCUGGACCCGACCGGGCAGUUCCUAGUGAGUGGCAGCACGAGCGGGGCCGUCUCUGUGUGGGACACGGACGGGCCUGGCAAUGAUGGGAAGCCGGAGCCCGUGUUGAGUUUUCUGCCCCAGAAGGACUGCACCAAUGGCGUGAGCCUGCACCCUAGCCUGCCUCUCCUGGCCACUGCCUCCGGUCAGCGUGUGUUUCCUGAGCCCACAGAGAGUGGGGACGAAGGAGAGGAGCUGGGCCUUCCCUUGCUCUCCACGCGCCACGUCCACCUUGAAUGUCGGCUUCAGCUCUGGUGGUGUGGGGGGGGGCCAGACUCCAGCAUCCCUGAUGAUCACCAGGGCGAGAAAGGGCAGGGAGGAACGGAGGGAGGUGUGGGUGAGCUUAUAUAAAAAGGUUUUUAUGAUA